rnacentral:tRNA from 1 species
GUAAGGGUGUGGUAACGGUAACCAGUCAGGCUCAUGCCCUGAAAAUAUAAGUUCAACUCUUAUCUCUUACA